AUUUGUAUUUCUCAUCAGAAUUCUGAACAACCAAGACUGAUUUCUUGAGUUGUUGUGAGGCUUAUACUUGUACGGAUUUGGCUUUCUCAGUUUUGUUCUCUCUUGUUUCCGUAUUUUG
rnacentral:sRNA from 1 species